GGUUUAACACAUGCAAGUCGAGCGGGCGUAGCAAUACGUCAGCGGCAGACGGGUGAGUAACGCGUGGGAACGUACCUUUUGGUUCGGAACAACACAGGGAAACUUGUGCUAAUACCGGAUAAGCCCUUACGGGGAAAGAUUUAUCGCCGAAAGAUCGGCCCGCGUCUGAUUAGCUAGUUGGUGAGGUAACGGCUCACCAAGGCGACGAUCAGUAGCUGGUCUGAGAGGAUGAUCAGCCACAUUGGGACUGAGACACGGCCCAAACUCCUACGGGAGGCAGCAGUGGGGAAUAUUGGACAAUGGGCGCAAGCCUGAUCCAGCCAUGCCGCGUGAGUGAUGAAGGCCCUAGGGUUGUAAAGCUC
rnacentral:rRNA from 1 species